CCUGCACAGGUUAAGUCAGAAGAGAUACCUGUCACUCUGCGUGCAGUAUUUUGUCCAAUAAUCCUGAGUUCUGAAAAGGUGCAUUUUACUCAGAGGGUAAUCUCCAUUUGUUUAGGACAUGAAGUCAGCACAGUACAAACAACAACCAUAAUACACUAACAUAACACAAGCUAAGCCUGAAACACAACUUGGCACUUGAGUAGUGAUAUGCAAACAUAGUGAUGGAACAAAAAGCUUCAACUGUUUUUAUUCUUAUGUCUUGAGGAAGAAAUCCAAAUACUGCUUUGUUCAUAUACAGAAUCUGUGGGAUCCUAAAAUGCCGAGUAUUCACCAUCUAGAUAACUUCAGAACAAUGAACUAAAACACAAGUGACUACUACCAAAUACUGAUUUUGACAAAUGUAAUAAUAUAGUCCUAGCUUUUUACUAAUAGGCUUACAAGUGCAGAAUAAUCAAAGACUUGAACACUGUAAUGGUGAGACAUAGGUACAAAUGGAUGUGGCAGUAUUUAUAGCAGGCUAACAGCAACUGUUUUCUCCCUUCCAACUCUGUGUCCCCCAAAAAGUCAAUUUUGCUGGUAGGAAGCUAAUGUAGUUACCUACAAAAUGCAUUAUUAAAAACAAACAUCUUCAAAGUCCACAUGCUCUCGUGCGUCAAAGGCCAUCACAGAAUCACAGAAUGACCUGGGUUGGAAGGAACCUCAAGGAUCAUGUAGUUCCAACUACUUCUAAAGGUCUUUCUUAUGUAAUUCACUGCUACUUUGUACUUUAUUUCCUAUAGCGCCACUAGAGGAGAAUUCUCAGUGUAGGGGAAAAAAAAUAGACUUAAUUAACAAAAUGUCUGUCUAUUCCUGUUACUUUAAUGAAAAGCUGUUAAGUCCAGAAGGCACUGGAAUAUGUUGGAUUAUUAGUAGUAAAUAACUAUGUAAUUAUGCAGGUAUAAAAUACUGCGAGCAGUAAUGAAGAUAUCGGUGAAUCUGUGGAUUACAUUUUGAACCAAGAAUAAAGGAGCUCUGAGAGAGAACAGUGGCUGCCAAAAACUAUUCAUAUGCGCUUCCACUAUUGCAAAUUUAGGCAUACAACAGCUGUAUUAGCAGCAGCGCUACAAGACAGCUGUUUCUACAAGACACAGCAACAGAAUAUUUAGUUUACCUGCAGUUUUUACGGUUACUUUUCUAAAUCAGAAAGGAAAUAGUUUAUACAACACUCUACAGAAACCUGAGUAAGAAGAAAGCAUUUGUGAUAAACCUACUGACUUUCCAAGAGAACCAGAAGAAUCUGGAUCGUAAGUAAAAUAAGCUACUAGCACAAAAUAGUACCAUACCUGCUGGUCUUUGACAUUCCACAACUUAAGCACAGUGAGAUGACAGACAUGUUUAACUUUUGCAAUUGAAAAUACUGUCUGCUCGGUAGUCAGUAAUGAUGCAAAUAGCAAAUGGUAACUGAAGCAUGAAGUUCUUCCCAGGUACGACUUCUCAGGUUGGAUAUCCAUAACACAUGUGAUGAUGUUAAGUUUGGAAGCUUCUCAGAGAAGCUAAAGCACUCCUAUUGCUAGAGCACACAGCUUGCUUUUUAUUACAUUGUGCAGGUGUUGAAUGUAAGACAGAAAAAGGCAGAAAUGAUUAAGCACAGCAUGUUACACCAUCAGCAACUGAAGGUUUAAGAUUUAAAACACAUCAUUGGGUAAUCUUAAUCCUAUCCAAAGAGGUUCUCUCCGGGCACCUCAUGUUAACUGACAUGCCUAAUUAAAAUGAUGGCUAGAAAAUAUGGUGCUCCCCAGUGCAAAACGUUAGAACAUUAUACAACCGUGUUCAUUUCCUCUCAUUUUUAGCUUGAAAGGAUUGCAGUGGAACUUUCAUUAAAAUGCCUAUAUGGCAAGAAAAAAAAAGAGUCAACAUGCUGCACCAGACUCCAGAUGUAAAAAUUGACUUAGCCCAUAAAAAAUCAUGGGUUUAUUUGCAAUUUGAGAAUGCUGUGGACCAGGGAUUUUUCUGGUAUUCUCUGCAUUCAAGAAAUUUCACAUCAUUCCAGAGACUGCCAGAUGGCAAGGCAGCGUUACCGUUUUGUCAAGGAAUGUGAAACAAUCUUAUGACUCUGCAAUCCUGAUUUAGUAACACUUACGCAUAUGAAAGACAUGGUUUGUUUUCGGUUUCGGUGUUGUGUUUUCUUCCCCAUACAGAAAAGAUAAGCUGAUGAGUAUCAGCUGUUUCAAUUCAACCAGAAUUAUAGGAAGUAAAUGAGAACAAGAAUUAAAAACUGUUUGGGUAAAAAA